GUCUAUGGCCAUGCCACCCUGAACAUGCCCGAUCUCGUCUGAUCUUGGAAGCUAAGCAGGGUCAGGCCUGGUUAGUACUUGGAUGGGAGACCACCUAGGUAUACCGGGUGCUGUAGGUG
rnacentral:rRNA from 1 species